rnacentral:rRNA from 1 species
GACGAACGCUGGCGGCGUGCCUAAUACAUGCAAGUCGAACGCAGUGGGGACGGGUGAGUAACACGUGGGUAACCUCCCAUCAGAGGGGAUAACACUUGGAAACAGGUGCUAAACCGCUACUGAUGGAUGGACCCGCGGUGCAUGAGCUAGUUGGUGAGGUAACUGCUAACCAAGGCCAGGAUACAUAGCUGACCUGAGAGGGUGACCGUCCACACUGGGACUGAGACACGGCCCAGACUCUUAGGGGAGGCAGCAGUAGGGAAUCUUCGGCAAGGGACGAAAGUCUGACCAAGCACCGCCGCGUGAGUGAAGAAGGUUUUCGGAUCGUAAAACUCUGUUGUUAGAGAAGCGGUAUCUAACCAGAAAGCCACGGCUAACUACGUGCCAGCAGCCGCGGUAAUAC